rnacentral:lncRNA from 1 species
AUGACUAGCCGGGAGCCCACGAAAAGCUGCUCAGCGUCGUUUCUCAUCAGGAAAACGCAAAUCGGGACCACCGCGAGAUACCCGACUGCACGCCCGCCAGAAUGGCUGAAGUGGAAAAUUCAAACAAUACCAAGUGUUGGCACAAUUAUGGAGCCACUGGAACUCUCUGCUAUUGCCAGUGGGAUGUCAGAUGGUCCAGCCACGCUCUGUGAGUCAAACCAGGGCGGGAAGUCGCGUGACCAGCCCAGAUUCCGGGCCGGAUCUGAUCGAGCAGAGGAUCGCUUUCUAGGCUCAAGACCAGGGGGCCUGGGGCUCAUGGUGCUUCCCACGGGAAGAAGGACCCUAGUUCAAAUGAUUCAGGAUUUUCUCUCCCUGAUGGACAGUGGGGCUAUUUCCUCCCCUUCUUCAAGGAUUGCAGCAGCAAACAUGGGCAGACAUUCCUGGGAUGGCAGAGACACACGAUGGAAGAAGCUGUCUCCGAAUCAUCCUCCAUCAACUCAGAGCGCCCAUUUCACGGAUGUGGAAACUGAGGUCCAGAGACAUCAAUGAGUGAGAAGGGACUGGAGCCUUGGCGUUUAUCUUGACUAUCCUAACUGACCGAAUUCCUCACUUGGGAUCAUUUUAUUCCUUUUUUCCCCCUGUGCCAUUCAGCAUGUUCCCACUUUUCAGCCGAGGAGAGAGAAGGGGGGCCAGGCAGGCUGGGUGUAUGAACCUGCUCAGAAUAGAGUCGUUUAAUCAGCGCCUGCUUGUUUUGGCCUUGCCUGAUGGGUGGGCAGAGGAUGUGACUUCAAUACUGACCUUGGGUUCUCCUGGACUGGGACUGGGCACUGAGGUCUCAGACAGAGCGCCAUUCCUUGGACCAGAGGUCAGGCCACAUAGAACUGUCAGGCUGAGGCUGAGUUCUAAGGAUUUUGUUGGCUGUUGAUAGCCUGGUGGUGAUGGUGGGAGACAAUUAUUUUUUAGCGGGACUGUUGAUGCGUUCCAUUUUUCGAUGCAAUUCACAGAAGGUUCCACUUUCUUUUCUGUUGACGGUCUCAAGAAAUAGUCGUCGGCUAAUCUUUCCUGGACAUUUGCUGUAUGUUAAGUGCAUAGCCUGCCUCGUCUCGUUUAAUCCGCAUUAAAUGAAUCCACAGACCCAGGAGUCAGAUGUGAAGUUCUUACAAGGGGCUGUGAGCAUCACCUCUUACCUGCCUGAACUUAGCCGCCUCGGGCCCUGCUUCAGCCACACCAGCCUCCUGCCAUGCUUCCAACAAGCCAGGCAUCAUCCUGCUUCAGGACCUUUGCACUGCCCCCUCUUGCUAGAAUGCCCUUCCUCUAGAUGCCCACAUCGCUCCCUCUCUCACUCCUUUCCGAUCGCUGCACUGAUGUGGCCACAUCACAGAGGCUCUCUGGGUCUUCUUAUUUAAAAAUUUUUUAUGUUUAUUUAUUUUUUGAAAGACAGAGCAUGAGCACAGGACGGGGAGAGAGAGAGAGAGGGACAGACAGACAGACAGACAGUAUCCGAAGCAGGCUCCAGGCUCUGAGCUGUCAGCACAGAGCCCGAUGUGGG